GGCAAAGCUUCUCCACAUGUUUUCGAUUGAUCAGAGACGGAACAAGACUGUAAAUUUAACAGAAAAGAAAAAGAAGAAAUAAGUGUUACAGGAACCAAAUUUCAAGCGAGAUGCGAGGAGAUGAGAACUAGAAAGAAAUAUGAAGAGAUUGAUAACAGUGACAGAUUCAAUGUGGGAAUGAGAAAUCUCGAAAACAGAUAGGCAAGGGGACCUGCCAGUGGCUAAAGUAGCC
rnacentral:misc_RNA from 1 species